rnacentral:rRNA from 1 species
CCUACGGGGGGCAGCAGUGGGGAAUAUUGCGCAAUGGACGAAAGUCUGACGCAGCGACGCCGCGUGAGUGAUGAAGGUUUUCGGAUCGUAAACCUCUUUCAGGAGGGAAGAAAGCGCAUGGCGCCAAUCAGCCAUGCGUUGACGGUACCUCCAAAGGAAGCGCCGGCUAACUCCGUGCCAGCAGCCGCGGUAAUACGGAGGGCGCGAGCGUUAAUCGGAGUUACUGGGCGUAAAGCGCACGUAGGCUGUUGUGUAAGUUAGGGGUGAAAUCCUAGGGCUCAACCGUGGAACAGCUCUUGAUACUGCGCGACUUGAAUACGGGAGAGGGUGGCGGAAUUCCAGGUGUAGGGGUGAAAUCCGUAGAUAUCUGGAGGAACACCAGUGGCGAAGGCGGCAACCUGGACCGGUAUUGACGCUGAGGCGCGAAAGCGUGGGGAGCAAACAGGAUUAGAUACCCGUGUAGUC